AGAGUUUGAUCCUGGCUCAGGACGAACGCUGGCGGCGUGCUUAACACAUGCAAGUCGAACGGAGAACUUAUUUCGGUAAGUUCUUAGUGGCGAACGGGUGAGUAACGCGUGGGCAACCUGCCCUCCAGUUGGGGACAACAUUCCGAAAGGGAUGCUAAUACCGAAUGUCCUCCCUCCUCCGCAUGGAGGAGGGAGGAAAGAUGGCCUCUGCUUGCAAGCUAUCGCUGGAAGAUGGGCCCGCGUCUGAUUAGCUAGUUGGUGGGGUAACGGCUCACCAAGGCGAUGAUCAGUAGCCGGUCUGAGAGGAUGAACGGCCACAUUGGGACUGAGACACGGCCCAAACUCCUACGGGAGGCAGCAGUGGGGAAUCUUCCGCAAUGGACGAAAGUCUGACGGAGCAACGCCGCGUGAGUGAUGAAGGUCUUCGGAUUGUAAAACUCUGUUGUUAGGGACGAAAGCACCGUGUUCGAACAGGUCAUGGUGUUGACGGUACCUAACGAGGAAGCCACGGCUAACUACGUGCCAGCAGCCGCGGUAAUACGUAGGCGGCAAGCGUUGUCCGGAAUUAUUGGGCGUAAAGGGAGCGCAGGCGGGAAACUAAGCGGAUCUUAAAAGUGCGGGGCUCAACCCCGUGAUGGGGUCCGAACUGGUUUUCUUGAGUGCAGGAGAGGAAAGCGGAAUUCCCAGUGUAGCGGUGAAAUGCGUAGAUAUUGGGAAGAACACCAGUGGCGAAGGCGGCUUUCUGGACUGUAACUGACGCUGAGGCUCGAAAGCUAGGGUAGCGAACGGGAUUAGAUACCCCGGUAGUCCUAGCCGUAAACGAUGGAUACUAGGUGUGGGAGGUAUCGACCCCUUCCGUGCCGGAGUUAACGCAAUAAGUAUCCCGCCUGGGGAGUACGGCCGCAAGGUUGAAACUCAAAGGAAUUGACGGGGGCCCGCACAA
rnacentral:rRNA from 1 species